UACCCGAACCUCGGACAGCAGCUGUGAACCGGUAUUAGCCUGAUGCAGUACCGGUACUCACCGACUCAGGUACCGGUACUCCACUCAAACUUCACAAACCCGAUAGCACCUAAACAUGUAAUCCCUCUGGGGUACCGGUACUUCUCUUAGGUACCGGUACACAAUACUCAAAAUCCUGUUUUUGUAGAUUUCAGUGUUCGAACUCCAACUCUCGCAGCUCUCAGUCCGUUUUCACGUCUAUUUCGCGUCAAAACGACCCUAACUCGUCCCGACACUCUACAGAUGUGUCAACAAGCCACUAAUGAUGUAGUCAGUCAAACAACUAAGUCCCAAAGACACUACAUUCUUCCCUACCACAAAAAGUUUCGUCCUCGAAACUUAAAGUCAUACCUCAACACGGUACCUCAAACAAGUAGGGGUAGGACUCCCGCAUCACAGCCUCCGGCUCCCAAAUCGCCUCACGCUCCUCGUGAUUACUCAACUGCACUUUCACGUACGGUAUGACCCGAUUGCGCAAUUCUUUCGUCUGACGAUCUAGAAUCCGCAUCGGUCGCUCCUCGUACCUCAGGUCCUCGCCUAUCU
rnacentral:lncRNA from 1 species